rnacentral:tRNA from 1 species
GGCGCUGUGGCUGAGUGGUACAGCUAUAGGCUUCCAAACUGAGAGGUCCCGGGUUUGAAUCCCGGUGAAGACU